CCUACGGGCGGCAGCAGUGGGGAAUAUUGCUCAAUGGGCGAGAGCCUGACGCAGCGACGCCGCGUGAGGGAUGAAGGUCUUCGGGUCGGAAACCUCUGUCAGCAGGGAAGAACGGUCACUGUGCUAAUCAGCAGUGAAUUGACGGUACCUGCAAAGGAAGCACCGGCUAACUCCGUGCCAGCAGCCGCGGUAAUACGGAGGGUGCGAGCGUUAAUCGGAAUUUCUGGGCGUAAAGCGCUCGUAGGCGGUAUGUCAAGUCAAGGGUGAAAUCCCCGCGCUCAACGUGGGAACUGCCUUUGAAACUGGCAAACUGGAGUGUGUGAGAGGAUAGUGGAAUUCCAGGUGUAGGAGUGAAAUCCGUAGAUAUCUGGCGGAACAUCAGUGGCGAAGGCGACUAUCUGGCACACAACUGACGCUGAGGAGCGAAAGCGUGGGUAGCAAACAGGAUUAGAUACCCGAGUAGUC
rnacentral:rRNA from 1 species